rnacentral:sRNA from 1 species
CGACCCACCAAUCGUUCGGUGGAAACGAGAAUAAAGCGUGAAGGAUAACGUUGCGUCAGCAACGGCCCGUAGGGCGAGGCGAAGCCGAGUCAUCCUGCACGACCCACCA